GAGUCCGGGAUUGUGCAAAGACGCAGCGCCUCCUGUUGUCCGGUUGAGGUCCCGGGCUCAGCUCCUUCUGCCUGAGGGUGCUGCCGUAGGGGUUGCUGUCUGUGCAGUCUGGAGAACAGCACAGGCCGAGGGCAAAACUGACUGUCAGCAGAAUAGGGUUGCCAUACACAGGAGACAAAGAGGGCUGAAAAGGGACAGAUCCGCUCUCCCGCACUGUGCCCGCCAGAUCCCGAGGCUCAGCUUGCGGGUCUCUAACGCUGCCUCCGGAUGACGCUGAAACUUGUGGGCCUUAAGAUAUAAGCUCACUCAAGCGAGCAAAUUCUGACCAGUGCUCGCCACACAAAAGCCUUCACGUCCCGUCCCCGAGGGUCGGAGGACGCGCGUGUCUCCCGAGUCCGAGUGAUGCUGUGGGAAACCUUGCGUGGCAUGGCCCUCCCCACCGACAGGGGGCGCUUGCUAGGGGUGGCAGCCGGCACCGCCGUCUCUCUCUCUCAGCGGGAGCCUCAUUGCUUGGAUGCGGAGCGCGUCCUUCUGCCUUCCCGCUUGGUAGCGAGCGGCCGCAGCUCUUGUGGAGUUUACGGGCCUGGCUCCUUGUCGUCCUCGGGGCCGCCGGCUUCUUGUGGGGCGGGGGAAGACGAGCAGCCUUCCUGUGCGGGGCUGUGUCGGUGCGU